rnacentral:rRNA from 1 species
CCUACGGGUGGCUGCAGUGGGGGAUAUUGCACAAUGGGGGAAACCCUGAUGCAGCGACGCCGCGUGGGCGAAGAAGUAUUUCUGUAUUUAAAGCCCUAUCAGCACGGAAGAAGAAAUGACGGUACCUGAGUAACAAGCACCGGCUAAAUACGUGCCAGCAGCCACGGUAAUACGUAUGGUGCAAGCGUUAUCCGGAUUUACUGGGUGUAAAGGGAGCGCAGGCGGCACGGCAAGCCUGAUGUGAAAGCCCGCGGCCCAACCGCGGGACUGCAUUGGAAACUGCCGGGCUAGAGUGUCGGAGAGGUAGGCGGAAUGCCUAGUGUAGCGGUGAAAUGCGUAGAGAUUAGGAGGAACACCAGUGGCGAAGGCGGCCUACUGGACGGUGACUGACGCUGAGGCACGAAAGCGUGGGGAGCAAACAGGAUUAGAUACCCGAGUAGUC